AUUAUACAGCGAAACUGCGAAUGGCUCAUUAUAUAAGUUAUCGUUUAUUUGAUAGUACCUUACUACUUGGAUAACCGUGGUAAUUCUAGAGCUAAUACAUGCUAAAAAUCCCGACUUUGGAAGGGAUGUAUUUAUUAGAUUAAAAACCAAUGCCCUUCGGGGCUCUCUGGUGAUUCAUGAUAACUUCUCGAAUCGCAUGGCCUUGCGCCGGCGAUGGUUCAUUCAAAUUUCUUCCCUAUCAACUUUCGAUGUUUGGGUAUUGGCCAAACAUGGUUGCAACGGGUAACGGAGGGUUAGGGCUCGACCCCGGAGAAGGAGCCUGAGAAACGGCUACUACAUCCAAGGAAGGCAGCAGGCGCGCAAAUUACCCAAUCCCGACACGGGGAGGUAGUGACAAUAAAUACUGAUACAGGGCUCUUUUGGGUCUUGUAAUUGGAAUGAGUACAAUUUAAACCCCUUAACGAGGAACAAUUGGAGGGCAAGUCUGGUGCCAGCAGCCGCGGUAAUUCCAGCUCCAAUAGCGUAUAUUAAAGUUGUUGUGGUUAAAAAGCUCGUAGUUGAACCUUGGGCCUGGCUGGCCGGUCCGCCUCACCGCGUGUACUGGUCCGGCCGGGCCUUUCCCUCUGUGGAACCCCAUGCCCUUCACUGGGUGUGGUGGGGAAACAGGACUUUUACUUUGAAAAAAUUAGAGUGCUCCAGGCAGGCCUAUGCUCGAAUACAUUAGCAUGGAAUAAUAGAAUAGGACGUGUGGUUCUAUUUUGUUGGUUUCUAGGACCGCCGUAAUGAUUAAUAGGGACAGUCGGGGGCAUCAGUAUUCAAUUGUCAGAGGUGAAAUUCUUGGAUUUAUUGAAGACUAACUACUGCGAAAGCAUUUGCCAAGGAUGUUUUCAUUAAUCAGGAACGAAAGUUAGGGGAUCGAAGACGAUCAGAUACCGUCGUAGUCUUAACCAUAAACUAUGCCGACUAGGGAUCGGACGAUGUUAUUUUUUGACUCGUUCGGCACCUUACGAGAAAUCAAAGUGCUGG
rnacentral:rRNA from 1 species